rnacentral:lncRNA from 1 species
ACUAGACAACAAUGAAAAAUCAGAAAGGAAGCUGGAGGAAGCUUAAGAAGACAUACCAAGACUGUUGCCUUACCCCCCUUUUAUAGUAGAAUGCGGUAUGGUCCCGCCAUUAAUGGUGCAGACAACUGGAGAGUUGUCAUAUCGUCGGGAGCUGUCAAAUUAUCGUGGGCUGUCAAAUCACCGCGGGUUGUCAUGAUCAACCCAUGUCAUUGGCAGGACAAUGCCCC